rnacentral:rRNA from 1 species
GACGAACCGAGCGAACGUUAUUCGGAAUCACUGGGCUUAAAGGGCGCGUAGGCGGGCGAUCAAGUCGAGGGUGAAAGCCCAGGGCUCAACCCUGGAAUUGCCUUCGAUACUGUCUGGCUAGAGACCGGAAGAGGUAAGUGGAACUGCGAGUGUAGAGGUGAAAUUCGUAGAUAUUCGCAAGAACACCAGUGGCGAAGGCGGCUCACUGGCCCGGUACUGACGCUGAGGUGCGAAAGCGUGGGGAGCAAACAGG